GUAGGUGGCAAGCGUUGUCCGGAAUUAUUGGGCGUAAAGCGCGCGCAGGCGGUUCUUUAAGUCUGAUGUGAAAGCCCACGGCUCAACCGUGGAGGGUCAUUGGAAACUGGAGAACUUGAGUACAGAAGAGGAAAGCGGAAUUCCACGUGUAGCGGUGAAAUGCGUAGAGAUGUGGAGGAACACCAGUGGCGAAGGCGGCUUUCUGGUCUGUAACUGACGCUGAGGCGCGAAAGCGUGGGGAGCAAACAGGGAUUAGAUACCCUGGUAGUCCACGCCGUAAACGAUGAGCGCUAAGUGUUAGGGGGGUUUCCGCCCCCUUAGUGCUGCAGCUAACGCAUUAAGCACUCCGCCUGGGGAGUACGGCCGCAAGGCUG
rnacentral:rRNA from 1 species